rnacentral:rRNA from 1 species
GCGGUACGCGAGCUGGGUUCAGAACGUCGUGAGACAGUUCGGUCCCUAUCCGUCGUGGGCGUAGGAAAUUUGAGAGGAGCUGUCCUUAGUACGAGAGGACCGGGAUGGACGCACCGCUGGUGUACCAGUUGUUCUGCCAAGGGCAUAGCUGGGUAGCUAUGUGCGGAAGGGAUAAGUGCUGAAAGCAUCUAAGCAUGAAGCCCCCCUCAAGAUGAGAUUUCCCAUAGCGUAAGCUAGUAAGAUCCCUGAAAGAUGAUCAGGUUGAUAGGUUCGAGGUGGAAGCAUGGUGACAUGUGGAGCUGACGAAUACUAAUAGAUCGAGGACUUAACCAU